GCCUUGAUGGUGAAAUGGUAGACACGCAACACUCAAAAUGUUGUGCUAAAUAUAAAUAGCGUGGAGGUUCGAAUCCUCUUCAAGGCA
rnacentral:tRNA from 1 species